GCGAACGUUAGCGGCAGGCUUAACACAUGCAAGUCGAACGCGAAAGCCCUUUCGGGGGCAAGUAGAGUGGCGCACGGGUGAGUAACACGUAGGUAACCUGUCCUUGUGUCUGGGAUAACCACUGGAAACGGUGGGUAAUACCGGGUAGAGUUGUGACUUUCAAUUAAGUUACAAGGAAAGCUGAGAAGCGCACGAGGAGGGGCCUGCGGCCCAUCAGCUAGAUGGUAAGGUAACGGCUUACCAUGGCAACGACGGGUAGCUGGUCUUAGAGGAUGAUCAGCCACACUGGGACUGAGACACGGCCCAGACUCCUACGGGAGGCAGCAGUGGGGAAUAUUGGACAAUGGGCGCAAGCCUGAUCCAGCCAUGCCGCGUGAAGGAUGAAGGUUUUCGGAUCGUAAACUUCUGUUGGGAGGGAAGAAAGGGCCCUGAAGAGGGGCAGAUGACGGUACCUCCUAAGCAAGCACCGGCUAACUCCGU
rnacentral:rRNA from 1 species